GCCCCAUCACUUAAUCCGAUUGGAAGGUGAUGAAAAGCAACCGCACUUAAACAAUGGUAAGAGGAGCGAAGCGAGUCAAACCACCCAAAAGAAGCAGUGGGAUUAAGUGAUGGGGUGACUGCGUACCUUUUGUAUAAUGGGUCAGCGACUUAUAUUUUGUAGCGAGGUUAACCGAAUAGGGGAGCCGAAGGGAAACCGAGUCUUAACUGGGCGAAUAGUUGCAAGGUAUAGACCCGAAA
rnacentral:rRNA from 1 species